rnacentral:rRNA from 1 species
UACGGGGGGUGCGAGCGUUGUCCGGAAUCACUGGGCGUAAAGGGCGCGUAGGUGGUUUGAUAAGGGUGUGGUGAAAGUCCGGGGCUCAACCCCGGAUCUGCCGUGCCGACUGUCAAACUCGAGGACUGUAGAGGCAGACGGAAUUCCGGGUGUAGCGGUGGAAUGCGUAGAGAUCCGGAGGAAGACCGGUGGCGAAGGCGGUCUGCUGGGCAGUUUCUGACACUGAGGCGCGACAGCGUGGGGAGCAAACGGG